GGGGUAGAAUUAAUUAAAUAAAUAAUAAUAAAAAAAUUUUUAAUAUAUUUUAAUGGGGGUUAAAGUAUAGUUUAUAGAAAAAAUUUAUUAUUUUAUAGGGGAGUAGUAUUGUAAAAGAAUAUUGAAAUAGUUGAAAAUCAAUUAUUAAUUAAGUAAAUUUAAUUUAUUGUAUCUUGUGUAUCAGAGUUUAUUAAUAAUUUUUUUUUUGUUAAAAAUUUCUCGAAUUUAAAAGAGAUAAUUAAUUAUAAAAGUUAUUGUUUCAUAAAUAUUUUUAAUAGUUAAUUUGAAAUGAUAUGUUAAUCGUUUUUAAAUAUAUCUAGUUUUUUUAGAAAUAAAUUUAAUUUAGAAUUUUUUUUUAUAACAAAUUAAUUAAUUAAUUUGUUAUAAAAAAAAUUUAAUAUUUUAAGGGAUAAUCUUUAAAUUAUAAUAUUAUAAUAUUUAUUUUAUUUUAUUUAAAAUUUUUAAAAUUUAUAUUGUUUUUAAAUUAUAUUUUUUUAUAAAAAUUUUUAUUUUUAAUAAAAUUUUUAAUAGAAUAUUUUAAUUUUUUAUAAAAAAAUAAUUUUUAAUUUAAUAAAAUUAGAUAUAAUGAUAAAAUUAGUAUAAAAUUAAUUUUAUUUAAUUUUGUAAAUUAUUUAUAAAUAAAAUUAGUAAUAUUAAUUUUUAAUUUUAAUAAUUUAUAUUUAAUUAAUUUUGUUAAUAAUAAUAAUAAUAUUUAAAAUUAAAAUAUUUUAAAAGUAAGAAAAAGGAAUUCGGCAAAUAUUUAUAUUCACUUGUUUAUCAAAAACAUGUCUUUUUGGUUAUAAUUUAAAGUCGAAUCUGCCCACUGAUUUAAUUAUUAAAGGGCUGCAGUAUAUUGACUGUACAAAGGUAGCAUAAUCAUUAGUCUUUUAAUUGAAGACUUGUAUGAAAGAUUUGAUGAAAUAUAAACUGUCUCUUUUUUAUAUUUAGAAUUUAAUUUUUUAGUUAAAAAGCUAAAAUAAAUUUAAAAGACGAGAAGACCCUAUAGAGUUUUAUAAUUAAUUUGAUUAUAUUUUUAUAUAAAUUUUUAUUGAAAAUUAUUUUAAUUAUUUUAUUGGGGUGAUAAAAAAAUUAAUAAAACUUUUUUUAAAAUAAAACAUUGAUUUAUGAGAAAAUGAUCCAUAAAUUUAUGAUUAAAAGAAAAAAUUACCUUAGGGAUAACAGCGUAAUUUUUUUUUUUAGUUCAUAUAGAAAAAAGAGUUUGCGACCUCGAUGUUGGAUUAAGAUAAAAUUUAAAUGCAGAAGUUUAAAAUUUUGAUCUGUUCGAUCAUUAAAAUCUUACAUGAUCUGAGUUCAAACCGGUGUGAGCCAGGUUGGUUUCUAUCUUUAAGAAAUUAAAAUAUUUUAGUACGAAAGGAUUAAAUAUUUAAAUUAUAAUUUAUAUGGAAGAAUUUUAUUAAUUUGAUUAUAUACAUGUAUAUAUAAAUAGUGAUAA
rnacentral:rRNA from 1 species